CCUACGGGUGGCAGCAGUGAGGAAUAUUGGUCAAUGGACGAGAGUCUGAACCAGCCAAGUCGCGUGAAGGAUGACUGCCCUAUGGGUUGUAAACUUCUUUUAUAUGGGAAUAAAAUGUUCCACGUGUGGGAUUUUGUAUGUACCAUAUGAAUAAGGAUCGGCUAACUCCGUGCCAGCAGCCGCGGUAAUACGGAGGAUCCGAGCGUUAUCCGGAUUUAUUGGGUUUAAAGGGAGCGUAGGUGGAUUGUUAAGUCAGUUGUGAAAGUUUGCGGCUCAACCGUAAAAUUGCAGUUGAAACUGGCAGUCUUGAGUACAGUAGAGGUGGGCGGAAGUCGUGGUGUAGCGGUGAAAUGCUUAGAUAUCACGAAGAACUCCGAUUGCGAAGGCAGUUCACUGGACUGCAACUGACACUGAGGCUCGAAAGUGUGGGUAUCAAACAGGAUAAGAUACCCGGGUAGUC
rnacentral:rRNA from 1 species